UUGCGGCCAUAUCACGUUGAAACAGCGGUCCCCGUGCGAUCACCGAAGUAAAGCAACAUCGAGCGGGGUCAGUACCUAGAUGGGUGAACUCUUGGAAAUACCAGGUGAUGUAAG